rnacentral:misc_RNA from 1 species
GAUGAAGAACGUAGCGAAAUGCGAUAAGUAAUGUGAAUUGCAGAAUUCAGUGAAUCAUCGAAUCUUUGAACGCACAUUGCGCCCCUUGGUAUUCCGAGGGGCAUUCCUGUUCGAGCGUCAUUAUAACCCCUCAAGCUCAGCUUGGUGUUGGGGCCUGCUGCACUGGCAGCCCUUAAAAUCAGUGGCGGCGCCAUCUGGCUCUAAGCGUAGUAAUUCUUCUCGCUAUGGAGUCCUGGUGGAUGCUUGCCAUCAACCCCCAAUUUUUCUAUGGUUGACCUCGGAUCAGGUAGGGAUACCCGCUGAACUUAAGCAUAUCAAUAAGCGGAGGA